CGGAGGGAGCUAGCGUUAUUCGGAAUUACUGGGCGUAAAGCGCACGUAGGCGGCUUUGUAAGUAAGAGGUGAAAGCCUGGUGCUCAACACCAGAACUGCCUUUAGACUGCAUCGCUUGAAUCCAGGAGAGGUGAGUGGAAUUCCGAGUGUAGAGGUGAAAUUCGUAGAUAUUCGGAAGAACACCAGUGGCGAAGGCGGCUCACUGGACUGGUAUUGACGCUGAGGUGCGAAAGCGUGGGGAGCAAACAGGAUU
rnacentral:rRNA from 1 species